rnacentral:lncRNA from 1 species
AAAGUUUUCCGAAAAGAUGGUGUGGCUGGGUUUUACAGGGGAUGUGCUACAAAUCUAUUAAGAACAACUCCAUCAGCUGUGAUUACGUUUACAAGUUAUGAAAUGAUUAAUCGAUUCUUGCAACAUGUUCUUCCCCCUCAUAAAACUAAAACCCCUUCAAAACCAGGCGAUGGAAAGAUGAAACCCCCUCAAAAAGUUGCAGGAAAUGAUGUGAAUGAUUUACAGAUAUCAAAAAUGAGAUCGAAUAAUCAUCAUAGCACGAGAACUUUUAUACCUUUGGGGAAUCAAGAUCCUAUCGAGUGACUCAAUUUUUGAU